UGGAUAAGGAAAAAUGUACCUCUUUCGGUGAAGUGUAUUUUCUACCAGUUCUUGGGAUUGUUUUGCAUCGCACUCCUUAUCAGAUUUAGCCUAAUAUUUUACAACGGUGUCAUGUUAUUAUGUAAAUGUACUGUACUCCAUUGAUACAUGGCCCGUUUAUUCGUAAAGAGGACAGAAAACUUUGAAUACAUUAUUUUUAAUGUUAACGAUAUUAGGCAAUAUCAUUUUCAGUGUGUUAUGAUAUCUACUUUUUCACCAGCGUAUUUCAGUAUCGAUUAUUGACUAACCUUGUACUGUGAAGAUCUGUCGGGCGUAUUGCUUUUCAACGAGAAAUAUUAUGGUGUUGAUGGCGCCGUGUGAAAGGUCUCCAUCACGUGUUGCCUGCAGGAUACCCGCAACUUCUAUUGUGCUGCACUGACUAAAAUACCACCUAAACCCGGACAGAUUGGGAGAGGUAAACGAGUUGUCAUUGAAGAUGACAGAAUAGAAGAUGAGCCGGACAGAUUGGGAGAGGUAAACGAGUUGUCAUUGAAGAUGACAGAAUAGAAGAUGAGCUGAAAGACCCAGCAGAAAAAACACCUGCCUGUGUCUAGAAUAUCCCAAAAGAAGGUUGGAAGCUGUAGGCCUACUAUCCUUGCUCAGCAAAAAAAUCACUUUGGUAUGUUCUCGUUUUGUUUUGAUUUCAGUGAUGCCUAUUAGUCCAUGCUUCCAAACAGAAAAUAACUGUGAAAUUAAUUCACUUGGUCAUUUGCUUUUAAAGCACAUGUUAUAGAACUUCAUUAAUUGAUCCAUUCUAAAUGAUUGAUUAAUGAUAUGGAAAUGAUUCCCCAAUGCAA